UCGAGACUAGAAAUUUCGGUCGGGUCACGACAAUGACGCAGCCGGUCGGAUUACGAUUUUUAUCUUUAGGUCUUGUUGGUGCUCCCCGAAAGAAGUGAUAUAGGGAAAACAAUCAGAUACAAGAGGCACUGUUUGUUUAAUUUCAAGCAGUAUAAAAGCAGCCGGAUAGCCGGUCGUGAUUAGUUCCUAUCUGGAAGUCAACAUCACCAGUGCUAAAAUAUGAAGACAAUCGCCUUACUGUGCAUCACGUUGCUUUUGGUGGCCUCGAUAUCCAAUGGAUUUGCCGCUCCUCCGCCAAUCACUGACACUUCGGCUGGGGAAGUAGCAGCCGAAAAGGACCUUCAGGAUGCGGAGACACCGAAGAUAGUGCAAAGUAGACGUCUGUGCAGUUUGUUUGGUGAUCCUGGGCCGUACUAUCGGCCUUGCUUCUUCCUGUAACAAUGCUUACUACAGUAGUUAACACUGGAACUUGAUGAUCACGGCUGAUAAGUUUUUACGGAUAUUAUAAAACAUUUUAUUUAGGAAAAUCCUGACCAAAUAAAUAGUGAAGUAAACAUA